GCGAGACUCCGUCUCGGAAAAAAAAAAAAAAAAAAAGAAAGAAAAAGAAUUCUGGACACUAAAGGAUGGUGGCGAAUAGUGCAACAUGUAAAGAUCUAAGAAAUGCAGAGCAGAGGGUCCCUGUCACCACUUCAUUUGAUUCACCAGUCUGAACCCUGAAAGUGAAUUUUGUGGACUAACACAAGAGCACAGGUAGUGGCUCCGAUAGCAUCUGAUAUGUUGAACAUGGAAUAAUGCUUGUGCGAAACAUCAUGUCGCUCCAUUACACUGAUGUUAUGGGGUUCAGAAAACACACCUCAAAGCAUGGUGCUUUGACAUGCUGAAUACUUUGAACUAAAGAAGCAAUCUCAAAACCAAAAUCUCUCUCUCGCUUUCUCCUGCCCCACUGUCUCUCAUCUCUCUGCCUCUCCUGAAGCAAAGGGAGAGGGUUUUCUCUGAAGUUCCUUUAUCUACCUGAAGACCGGAUCCACCAAAGAAGAGCACAAUGCCUUCGGUCUUCCCACUGAAAUUUCAUUAACCAACAAAGAUGAAACUCAUAUCACAGAGGAAGAGACUGAAAAUCAAACAUCAUACUUAGAGCCCAGACAAACUUUGUCCCAGGCUAUCUGUUCUGCUGUCUCAUUUAUCUCUCCUAAAAAUCAUUUACCACCCCUCUAAAAAUUGGCCUACACCCCCCAUUUUCCAUUAUUCUAUGAAGAAAAGUAUUUAAACUUCUAGACCUCAUUGGGAUAUUGAACACUCACCUUCCUGUGAUGCUCCUAAGCACGUAAGUAAAUUUCUAUGCACUUGUUCUUGCUUAUCGGU
rnacentral:lncRNA from 1 species